CCUACGGGUGGCUGCAGUGGGGAAUAUUGGACAAUGGGGGGAACCCUGAUCCAGCCAUGCCGCGUGUGUGAAGAAGGCCCUCGGGUUGUAAAGCACUUUCAGUGAGGAAGAACGCCUGGUGGUUAAUACCCAUCAGGAAAGACAUCACUCACAGAAGAAGCACCGGCUAACUCCGUGCCAGCAGCCGCGGUAAUACGGAGGGUGCGAGCGUUAAUCGGAAUUACUGGGCGUAAAGCGCGCGUAGGUGGCUUGAUAAGCCGGUUGUGAAAGCCCCGGGCUCAACCUGGGAACGGCAUCCGGAACUGUCAAGCUAGAGUGCAGGAGAGGAAGGUAGAAUUCCCGGUGUAGCGGUGAAAUGCGUAGAGAUCGGGAGGAAUACCAGUGGCGAAGGCGGCCUUCUGGACUUACACUGACACUGAGGUGCGAAAGCGUGGGUAGCAAACAGGAUUAGAUACCCUAGUAGUC
rnacentral:rRNA from 1 species